rnacentral:rRNA from 1 species
GAUGGAUAGCUGGUCUAAGAGGAUGAACAGCCACAAUGGGAUUGAGAUACGGCCCAUAUUCCUACGGGAAGCAGCAGUAGGGAAUCUUCCACAAUGGGCGAAAGCCUGAUGGAGCGAUGCCAUGUGAAUGAUGAAGGUCUUUUUGAUUGUAAAGUUCUUUUAUUGGGGAAAAUGAUGAUGGUACCCGAUGAAUAAGUGACAGCAAACUAUGUGCCAGCAGCUGCGGUAAUACAUAGGUCGCAAGCGUUAUUCGGAUUUAUUGGGCGUAAAGCAAGCGCAGGCGGACGAGUAAGUUCUGUGUUAAAAGCAGCAGCUCAACUGUUGUUUGCGCCGAAUACUGCUCGUCUAGAAUACGGUAGAAAGUUUCGGAAUUGAAUAUGGAGCGGUGGAAUGUGUAGAUAUAUUCAAGAACACCACAGGCGAAGGCGGAAACUUAGGCCGCUAUUGACGCUUAGGCUUGAAAGUGUGGGGAGCAAAUGGG